rnacentral:lncRNA from 1 species
UUCAUGCUCCUCUCGAAUUUUCUCAUCACAUUCUUUCAGAAAACGUUCACAGACCUACUCAUCCUGCCCUAGAGUAGACAAGGCCUGUCUUUAUUUAAUGGUGAGGAUGUUAUAGAUGAAGUCCUUUGAGGAGAAAUGCAUGUGACCGUGCAUCAGAAGUACGAGGUGGAUCUGUCGGUUGGAAACUAGUUUCUAAAACGCCUUCUGUUCCGCAUGCGUUUAUUCUCUUCUUCUGCACAGAAUUUGCUCCGUGGUGAGCCUGGAGAUGUCUCUGGAUGGGGACAGCUCCAUUCCCAGCUACUUCUGCGGGGCUGGUGGCGCAGAGAUGGGCGCAAAGGCUGAAAGUCGCAAGUCCUGUGCUUCUGGAGUUCAAAUGCUUCCUUUCCAGCGGGUCUCCUUGCGCCAUGGGGCCGUGCUGGGGUGAAUCUGGGGAAAACAACAGGAGAGGGAGGCCAGGGAACGCAGGGAUGGAGGGAGCCUAACCACGGACUCAGACGGAGCCAGGCGGGUCGCGGGUGCUGGAGCCGCCUGAGGACUGGAACCCCCUGAGGACAGGAGCCGCCUGAGGACUGGAGCCCCCUGAGGACUGGAGCCGCCCUGAGGACUGGAGCCGCCUGAGGACUGGAGCCGCCCUGAGGACUGGAGCCGCCCUGAGGACUGGAGCCGCCUGAGGACUGGAACCCCCUGAGGACUGGAGCCCCCUGAGGACUGGAGCCGCCUGAGGACAGGAGCCGCCUGAGGACUGGAGCCCCCUGAGGACUGGAGCCGCCCUGAGGACUGGAGCCGCCUGAGGACUGGAGCCGCCUGAGGACUGGAACCCCCUGAGGACUGGAGCCCCCUGAGGACUGGAGCCGCCUGAGGACUGGAGCUCCCUGAGGACUGGAGCCGCCUGAGGACUGGAACCCCCUGAGGACUGGAGCCCCCUGAGGACUGGAGCCGCCUGAGGACUGGAGCCGCCUGAGGACUGGAACCCCCUGAGGACUGGAGCCGCCUGAGGACUGGAGCCGCCUGAGGACUGGAGCCGCCGCGAUUGCAUCCACUGCAGGGACAGUGGCCAGGGCCGGCCCCGAGGCCUAAUCAGGAGGGGCAGCACGACACGGGGCUCUUUAUGUCUUUAAUGUCUGUAUUUAUAAAUAAAAAGUACGUUUUUGUAAGAUUUGCUCUUUCUUUCAGAAAUCUCGGUGGACUUCUUCCAUGUUGAAAUAUGUAGCCACAUGUAGCUGUACUUUUUUCAAUUUUAGUAAAUUACAACCUAUUUCUUCUUUUGUUGGAAAAUUAAAAGCAAUGCUAUUUCUUGGGUUCAUGUUUUCCUUCAAAUAUAUGCUCAAGUCUAUCCAGAACAUAAAUGAAAGGUGGAAUUAUGGUGAAAAAGAACUUUCAUGUAUGAAUUUUACAAAAUUUCCAAAUUUCUCUCCAACUGUAAUAAUUUACAUUGUCAACAGGAAGAUAUUUAAAUUUCUUUUGCUCUUUAUGCUUAACCAAAUGAAGCUAUUGAUACACUUUUGAAUUUUUUGGUCUACCACCUGAAUAUUGUUACCACAUAAUAAAGUGUACCCA